ensembl:snRNA U6 U6 spliceosomal RNA
GCUUCAGCAGCAAACAUAUACUCAAAUUGAAACAAAAUGCAGAGAAAAUUAGCAUGGCCCUGCAUAAGGAUGAUGCACAGAUCUCUGAAGUGGUCCAUAUUUUG